GGACCUCCAAUCAAGCAAGGCUACCCGCUGGAUUUAAGCAUAUAACUAAGCGGAGGAAAAGAAACUAACCAGGAUUCCCCUAGUAACGGCGAGUGAAGCGGGAAGAGCUCAACUUGAAAAUCUGGGUCGUUGUACGGCUCCGAAUUGUAGUCUAAAGAAAUGCAGCCAUCGGCCGACGCGAGACAAGUCCCUUGGAAAAGGGCGCCCCAGAGGGUGACAGUCCCGUACAUGCUUGCGUGGGUCCGUCUACGGCGUGUUUUCGACGAGUCGAGUUGCUUGGGAUUGCAGCUCAAAGUGGGUGGUAAAUUCCAUCUAAGGCUAAAUAUCGGUGGGAGACCGAUAGCGAACAAGUACCGUGAGGGAAAGAUGCAAAGAACUUUGAAAAAAGAGUUAAAGAGUGCCUGAAAUUGCUGAAAGGGAAGGAAAGGAAACCAGUGUAAUGUUGUGGCAUCUCCCCGUUGGACAUUGGACAGCGGUUGUGCCAUGGCGUUGGUCAAGAUGGGUUUGACUCGCAGGAGUAGGGUGUGAGGAAGGUGGUUUGCACUUCGGUGUGAAUGUUAUAUCCUCGCGCUUUUGCUGUGGGUUGGACCGAGGUCAACCUUGCGCCUCUGGCUGAGCUUGCUCAUGCAAGGUAUGAUCU
rnacentral:rRNA from 1 species